GACGAACGCUGGCGGCGUGCUUAACACAUGCAAGUCGAACGGAAAGGCCCUGCUUUUGUUGGGUGCUCGAGUGGCGAACGGGUGAGUAACACGUGAGUAACCUGCCCUUGACUUUGUGAUAACUUCAGGAAACUGGGGCUCAUACCGGAUAGGAGCUCCUGCUGCAUAGUGUGGGUUGGAAAGUUUCGGCGGUUGGGGCUGGACUCGCGGCUUAUCAGCUUGUUGGUGGGGUAGUGGCUUACCAAGGCUUUGACGGGUAGCCGGCCUGAGAGGGUGACCGGCCACAUUGGGACUGAGAGACGGCCCAGACGCCUACGGGAGGCAGCAGUGGGGAAUAUUGCACAAUGGGCGGAAGCCUGAUGCAGCAACGCCGCGUGCGGGAUGACGGCCUUCGGGUUGUAAACCGCUUUCGCAUGUGACGAAGCGUGAGUGACGGUAAUUGGUAAAGAAGCACCGGCUAACUACGUG
rnacentral:rRNA from 1 species